GGUAUAAACGAAAACGUAGGUUACAUUCCACUGCUGGACCACCAGAAAACCAUCAUUCAACUCAUUGUUGGUGCUGCGUCUAGACCAGUUAUCAUCAUUGAGGGAAACGAAGGCGAUGAGGUGGUCCUGCGGUGUGAGGCUGAAGGCUGCUACCCAGAGCCUGUCAUGGAGUGGUGUGAUGCUCAUGGACGUGUCCUCUCUGCUGCUGGACCUACAGAGACAUCCAGAGACCGUGAAGGCUGCUACACUGUGACAAGCCAUGUCAUCGUCCAGAACUCUGACAACAACACCUUCACCUGUCGGGUUCAACAGUUGGAGAUCAAACACAUGAAGGAGAGACGGGUUCAUGUUCCAGAUCAAAUGUUUCCUAAGACGUGUCAUUCCUGCUGGCUGACAGUUGUAGUAGCAGUUCUUGUUACAGUUCUUGCUGGAGCUGGAGGUCUCUACCUGUUGAUAAAAAAAAGGGAUAUUGACUAUCAGAAAGGUAAGUCACACUUCCUGGUGUGGUGGUGUUAUCUGGUGGAGUUACUUCCUGGUGUGGUGGUGUUAUCUGGUGGAGUUA